rnacentral:tRNA from 1 species
GUGGGUAUAGCUCAGUGGUAAAGUGCAUGCUUAGCAUGUACAAGGUCUUGGGUUCAGUUCCCAGUACCUCUG